CCCUUAGAUGUCCUGGGCCGCACGCGCGUUACACUGAUGCAUUCAACGAGCUUAUAACCUUGGCCGAGAGGCCUGGGCAAUCUUGUUAACGUGCAUCGUGAUAGGGAUAGAUUAUUGAAAUUAUUAAUCUUGAACGAGGAAUUCCUAGUAAACGCAGAUCAUCAAUCUGCAUUGAUUACGUCCCUGCCCUUUGUACACACCGCCCGUCGCACCUACCGAUUGGAUGGUCCGGUGAAGACUCAAGAGAUAUGUAGGCGCUCGGGUGACCGAACGCGUUGCGUGUCAAAUUUGUCUAAACCUUAUCGCUUAGAGGAAGGAGAAGUCGUAACA
rnacentral:rRNA from 1 species